UGAUGAACUCAUGUCUAACUUCUUUGCACAGCCAGAUGCCCUAGCCUAUGGGAAGACGCCAGAGCAAUUGCACAAGGAGAAUGUUCCAGAGCAUCUCAUUUCCCACAAGACAUUUUCUGGCAAUCGGCCUUCUCUUAGCAUUCUUCUUCCAUCAUUAAAUGCUUACAACAUUGGUCAGUUGCUAGCAAUCUAUGAGCAUAGAAUUGCUGUAGAAGGUUUUGUUUGGGGCAUCAAUUCUUUUGACCAGUGGGGAGUUGAAUUGGGCAAGUCACUUGCUACCCAGGUUCGAAAACAACUCAAUGCUUCUAGAACAAAGGGAG
rnacentral:misc_RNA from 1 species